AGGACGAACGCUGGCGGCGCGCUUAACACAUGCAAGUCGAGCGAGAACCAGGCCUUCGGGCUUGGGGAAAGCGGCGAACGGGUGAGUAACACGUGGGUAACCCACCCUUGGUACCGGGAUAGCCCGGGGAAACCCGGAUUAAUACCGGAUGGCCCAACAGCUCUUCGGGGCGGUUGGAAAAGGUAGCUUCGGCCUCCGACCAGGGACGGGCCCGCGGCGGAUUAGCUUGUUGGUGAGGUAACGGCUCACCAAGGCGACGAUCCGUAGCUGGUCUGAGAGGACGAUCAGCCACACUGGGACUGAGACACGGCCCAGACUCCUACGGGAGGCAGCAGUGGGGAAUCUUGCGCAAUGGGCGAAAGCCUGACGCAGCGACGCCGCGUGGGGGAAGAAGGCUUUCGGGUUGUAAACCCCUUUCAGGAAGGACGAAGCCACUCGGGUUAAUAGCCCAGAGGGUGACGGUACUUCCAGAAGAAGCCCCGGCUAACUACGUGCCAGCAGCCGC
rnacentral:rRNA from 1 species